rnacentral:rRNA from 1 species
CCUACGGGUGGCAGCAGUGGGGGAUAUUGCACAAUGGGGGAAACCCUGAUGCAGCGACGCCGCGUGGGUGAAGAAGCGCCUCGGCGCGUAAAGCCCUGUCAGCAGGGAAGAAAAUGACGGUACCUGAAGAAGAAGCUCCGGCUAACUACGUGCCAGCAGCCGCGGUAAUACGUAGGGGGCAAGCGUUAUCCGGAUUUACUGGGGGUAAAGGGGGCGCAGACGGGGAUGCAAGCCAGGCGUGAAAGCCCGGGGCCCAACCCCGGGACUGCUCUUGGAACUGCGGGGCUAGAGUGCAGGAGAGGCAGGCGGAAUUCCUGGUGUAGCGGUGAAAUGCGUAGAUAUCAGGAGGAACACCGGUGGCGAAGGCAGCCUGCUGGACUGCAACUGACGUUGAGGCCCGAAAGCGUGGGGAGCAAACAGGAUUAGAUACCCCAGUAGUC